rnacentral:rRNA from 1 species
GUCUGCAGCCAUGCCACCCUGAACAAGCCCGAUCCCGACUGAUCUCAGAAGCUAAGCAGGGUCAGGCCUGGUUAGUACUUGGAUAGGAGACCACUUAGGAAUACCAGGUGCUGUAGGCA